rnacentral:rRNA from 1 species
GACAGAGGGGGCAAGCGUUGCUCGGAAUCAUUGGGCGUAAAGCGCACGUAGGCGGCCUCGCAAGUCUGAUGUGAAAUCCCUCGGCUCAACCGAGGACGUGCAUCGGAAACUGCGGGGCUUGAGUACUGAAGAGGAUCGCGGAAUUCCCGGUGUAGAGGUGAAAUUCGUAGAUAUCGGGAGGAACACCAGUGGCGAAGGCGGCGAUCUGGGCAGAUACUGACGCUGAGGUGCGAAAGCGUGGGGAGCAAACAGG